CACAUGCAAGUCGAACGGUAAGGCUCCAGCUUGCUGGGGUACACGAGUGGCGAACGGGUGAGUAACACGUGGGUGACCUGCCCUGCACUUCGGGAUAAGCCUGGGAAACUGGGUCUAAUACCGGAUAGGACCGCACUGUGAGGGUGUGGUGGAAAGUUUUUUCGGUGUGGGAUGGGCCCSCGGCCUAUCAGCUUGUUGGKGGGGUAAUGGCCUACCAAGGCGGCGACGGGUAGCCGGCCUGRGRGGGUGGACGGCCACAUUGGGACUGARACACGGCCCARACUCCUACGGGAGGCAGCAGKGGGGAAUAUUGCAMAAUGGGCGGAAGCCUGAUGCAGCVACSCCSCGUGGGGGAUGACGGCCUUCGGGUUGUAAACUCCUUUCACCAUCSACGAAGGGUUUCUGACGGUAGAUGGAGAARAAGCACCGGCUAACUACGUGCCAGCAGCCGCGGUAAUACGUAGGGKGCGAGCGUUGUCCGGAAUUACUGGGCGUAAAGAGCUCGUAGGUGGUUUGU
rnacentral:rRNA from 1 species